GGGGCGGGGCCAACGGACCGCGGAGGCGGAGCCGCUACAGUCUGGGCGCUGGAGCGGUGGGAGCAGCGCUCGUCCGCCGUUGGGGCCCCCAGCCCGCGCGCGUGAAGCAGCUAGCCGACCAAGCCCCGGAAGGCGAGUGCCGGAGGGGGCGGGACAGCUCCUCCGGGGCCAGCGGGCACCAGGCUUGGGGGCUGAGGCCCAGCGGCCCGAGACCAACUGGGCUGACCGAGGCCGCCUCCCCGCCAGCCCUGGGGUCCACUGCCCGGGGAGCAGCUCCCUUCCCAGGUCAGACUCGGGCUUCAUCCUCUCUUGCCGCGCGCCGAGCGGUUUUCAACUCUCACUGCUAGAAUUCCUCCAACCACCCAGGAUAGCAGGACCGAGAUACAUGGCCACCCAUGACCCGGAGCGUCCACUUCCAGGGACAGGCAGUGGUGAUUGGCUUCGGUUGUCAUCUGUGCCAUCUGUCCAUGGUUCGAGAAGCUGCUGUUCACGUUUUGGGGAGGAUCAUGGUUUGAGGGCUCCCGUGGUAGAAUUUGGGGAGCUCUCAUAGGCAGAAGGCUGAGAAAAGUUGGUGCUGUGGGAAGUCAACUGGCAGCCGAUGGAGUCGGGACCCGGGAGGAAUGGAAAGGGAACCCAGAUAGGAAGCUACUGCAGUAGGCUCAGAGAGGUGAUGACGGCAGGGCUAAGACAGCGGCCUUGGGCGGUGACUGGGAAGAACGUUGAACACCGUGUUUGGGCUGAAGAAAAGAGCAAGGGAAGAGGUGAGGAACUUCAGGUCCCAGCUGCUCUGGAGUUUGAGGCAGGAGGAUGGCUUGAACCCAAGAGGUGGAGGCUGAAGUGAGCCAAGAUCGCGCCACUGCACUCCAGCCUGGGCGACAGGGCAAAACCCUGUCUCUAAAAAGAACUUUUUAAAAAAGCACCUGUAGAUUUAAGCACAUAAUAACUACACUUUUGUCUGUUUUAUUAUGAUAUCAAAGUUAAAUUUAUGAUGAAUGACUAACUGGACAAAACUGAGAGCAACCACCACAGAGGUGAAUAUACUGAAUGUAUAACACUCUCUAAUAAUUUUAAGAACUCCGCUCUAAUGAGCAGAUAUCACAGAAAGAGACUUUUCAGAUGAAAUACCGAUGACCAGGAAAUCUGUGAGACCAUUUUAAAAAAUUCGAAGUCAUUGAAGAAAUGCAAAGCUUCCAGGCUCCACUUUUCACUGAUGAAAUUGGCAGAGUUUGGGACAAUGAGAUGUUGCUGUCCCGGGAGUGCGGAUGGGGCUGUGUCCUGUGAUGGCGGUGGGCACUGGCACUCUUGUCCAGAAAGACAUUCACCACUGUGGUUCAAGAAGCACCUCAAAGGUCUUCACCUUGGUCCCUUGUCCACCUCUGCCCGCGGUCUCUCCUCCUUUCAGCCUCCUCUUUCCCACACAGUCCCUCCCGCCCUGGCUUGGUCCCCUUUCUUCUGACUGGGUCAGGCAUGUGGGUGACUCUUUGACUUCCAAGGCUCUGUCUACUUGGCUUUUUUCUUUCACCUGUUCUGCAGAAUAACAGCCUGAUUCGUUCCUCUUUUUGGGUCCUUCACUUCCAUACCUGGGAUUCGGGGCGUGGCCCAGAAAGACCCUGCAGUCUUGCAGUGUGGGGCUGCCAGCAUUUCAUGGCCUCCAAGCUCAGCUGGGCUGAAUGAACGCUGCCAUCCAGCGCUUGGCUCAUUUUCUGUCCCAUUUUCCUGAGUGCUUUUGCCAGACUUACACUUUUCUGAAAGCUACUCCACCCUACCCCAGACACACCCUCUCUCCUCGGAUGACCUGCCUCCUAAUUUCCUGAGAAAACUGGACAUGGCCACCUUUCCCCAGUGUCUGAGGCCCAGGUUGACCCGUGGUCAUGGUCGCUGUCACCACCCACCUGCCUGUAUGACAGAGUGAGACCCUGUCUCAAAAAAAAAUAAAAAGAAUGCCUCAUGUUA
rnacentral:lncRNA from 1 species